rnacentral:rRNA from 1 species
UACAGAGGGUGCAAGCGUUGUUCGGAAUCAUUGGGCGUAAAGGGCGUGUAGGCGGUCUGUUAAGUCAUGUGUGAAAUCCCUCGGCUCAACCGGGGAACGACGCAUGAAACUGACAAGCUAGAGUACCAAAGAGGGGGGUGGAAUUCCUGGUGUAGCGGUGAAAUGCGCAGAUAUCAGGAAGAACACCCGUGGCGAAGGCGGCUCUCUGGGACGGUACUGACGCUGAGACGCGAAAGCGUGGGGAGCGAACAGG